UUUUAAUUAAAAUGCUAUUAUAUUGAAAAGUAUUUAUUGAACGUUCCCUUUCUUCUGUGAUAUAUUAGCCAUCGAUGGCUAAAGCUCCAGUUAACGUUGCUUGACUUGACCUAGAGAGACUUGAGAACUGUCACAUAAAAGAUCCGUUUAAUGGGCCUUGCAUGUAUUUGAUUACCGAACGCAUGACUUGACUUGAAAGUCUGUUGAAUUUAGAACUCUAAGUUACGUUGACAUUUGAACUGCUUUCCCUCUCUUACUGCUUCUCUUUUCAUUCUCAUUAUGACACUAUUCCAGUGUUGCCUGAAUGUUUUCGGUUAAAAUUAAAUAUGUUAAAAUUCUAAUCUUUAAUAUUUAUAAAUCUUCAAAUAAAGAAAAAAUAAGAUAAUUCAGAGGAAAAUACCUUUUUCACAACAAUUAUUUUUUAAUGUGUUUAAUAAAAAAAUCGUUUAUUUUAUUUAUAACGCAAAUACUUGUUUAACUUUAAAUGCAAUAAACAAAUAAAAUCAAAUAGGUACGAUAUGAGGGUAAUUUUUACAACAGAAACUUAACUAUUGCGAAUCUCUGCAAGAAUUUGUGGUGAUCUGCUCAGAAAAAAAAUAUUUUGCGAAUUUAUUGUAAAUGUUCAAAUAUAAUUUGAAUAAAUUAUUUAUUCACCUAUCAUAUAUACGCUUGGCUGGCUCCAAUUUAUUACAUAUUGUAACAAUUCCAAAUAUCGAAAAACUGAACUACGUGUGCACGUUUCUUUUGUGGUAUUCUGCUCAAAGCUAUAUUCAUAUAUUUAUUAAAGAGUUUUCUUUCAAACAUAAAAUCUUUACGUGUUCACAGAUUUCCUAAUAGUGAAGAUUUUUUGUAUACUAGUUUUAAAAUCUUCAAUCUUGGUGAUAUUUUAAUUUAAAAAACUUAAUUUUAAAGCUAAAUAUGCACAUCUGGCAACUCUACCCAGAAACUAUAAUAAUAACAGCUGAAGUUGAAGUUGUGUGAAGUAUAACUGCAUCUAAGUUUUCCAAGCCAAAUUUUUCGAAGCUGAGUCAAGUCAAGCAUCGGUAACUGGAGCUUAACCCAGCAAGUCAUGGGUACUGAAAAUCCAAUACAUUCAAAGAAAUUUUAAUAACACCACUACAUACACAUAUAUGCAAACCUCGUAUGGCGCGUUAAAGGUACGCAAACUUAUGGUGUCACUUAUUGUAGCAGCGUGGAACUUUCGAAGCGAUGGAAUAUGUGCUGCAAACAAAUCCAGAACUAUGGAUGCAAACGCUGCUAUAUGGAACACUAAUCUUUUACACACCAGAUAUUAAGUUUAUGUGCCAUUAAACCUUUUGAUCAACACAAGCACGAGAAUUGGAACGACAUGGUUAAGGUGCUUUUGAAACCGUUUAUUAUCACGACGUGUGUCAACUGGGUUUUGCCAAUGAGCUAGAGGGCAAAGCAGUUUCAGUAUUUUUGGGAUAACCGGCACUUGGCCGUGCCAUUAGCAGCUAAAACACAGAAAGUAAAGGUUAAAUUUAAGUGAAUGUUUAUGCUCAUAGAAAUUUAAAAAUUUUUUGUAUGUUUAAUAAGGAGGACUUUUUUGAUUCAUUUUCACCAUGUAUUGAGGAAUCAUAAAGUUGUUGUAUCGCUUUACAAGGACAUAAAUUCACCGAAAUUAGUUCAAUAGAAAUACUACAGCAAAAGCAUGGAUGUUAAGACUUCAACGGUGCCGUGCUUGAUUUAGAUUUCCUGAAACAUAAGUUUGCUAUCUGUCUGUAUCCAUGCCUUUGUUACAUGAUUUAUGCAAUCCAUAAGUAUAAUAUCAUACACGAGUGGAGUUCAAAUCCAGAUGUCUGUCUAUCCGUUCGUCUGUGCAAGCUGUAACUUGAAUAAAAAUUAAAAUAUCUAGAUGAAACUUGGUACACGUGUUUUUUGUCACCAUAGGAAGGAUUUUUUUUUGGAAUAUGGGCGAAAUGACUGCCACGCCCACAAAAUGGCGAAAACCUAAAACACAUAAAGUGUCAUAACUAAGCCAUAAAUAAAGCUAUGGAAGUAAAAUUUGGUAUAAAAUAUCGCACUAUGAAGGGACGUAUUUGGAUGCCAUUUUUUGGAGAAGUGGGCGUGGCCUCAUCUCCUACUAAGUUUUUUGUAAAUACAGUAGCGCACAGUGAAUUGCGGACAAGCCGUCGAUUUGUAUUUAAAGGGCGAAUGUGACCGACCAGUACUACUAUUCGGGAAAUAAGUAAUAGAGUUGGCUUCAGCAAGCCCUCCGUCGGAGAAUUCCUAAAAAAAUCGAUAAAACAGAUCUCUUAAGAAAAAAAAUGGCUCUGGAGCAAAGAAGACAAAUUCAAAGAAAAAUCGGGUGAUGGAACGUUUUUUUAGGGAUCGCUACAAAACUGCUGAGGACGUUAAAGUGGAGUUAUUUCAAGAUGUCGGUACAAAAAAUUUGCCCAAGAACCGUUCGUUGAAGGAUUCAAAAUGUUGAUUUGAACGCUCGUGGCCCCGCCAAAAAGCCACUUUGGACCUCAAAAAUGCGUCAAAACCGUAAGCGAUUGGAAAAUAUUAUGAAAAUUGGACUCAUCUUGUUUGGCGAAAUGUUAUCUUCUCGGAUGCAUCAAAAUUUAACCUUCCUUGUAGCGACGGCAUGUCGAACGCAAGGCGGAGAACUUGUGAGUGGUUCAAGGACGAAUGUCUUCAGAAAACCGUUAAGCAGGGAGGUAGCCAAAUGGUCUGGGGAUGGUUUUCUUACCAUGGCCUUGGACAACUAACCCUAAUAGAUGGAACCGUCAACGGGUUUAAGUACCAGGAGAUACUUGAGACGAAUUUAAUACCCUCAAUAGAGGACCAUUUUUCAUGAGCGGAUGUCCACAUUUUCCAACAUGACUCUGCGCCAUGCCAGUGUGCCAAAAUAGUGAUUGUUUAUUAAAAAUCGGGGUUUCGACUUUAACAAUGUUCAGGUAAUAGUCCGGAUCUCAAUCAAAUUGAGAACCUUUGGUUUAUAAUGAAGACUCAGAUACACAGAAGAGACCAAAAACUUUAGCUGAAUUGCAUAGAAUUCUUGAAGAUAUGUGGUAUAACGGUAUCGCAGCAGGAACAUUACAAAAUCUGAUAAAUUCAA